GAACCUUUGGAUCAACAGUUUUACAGCACCAGAGAUUGACUAGCCUGACUGUGCAGAUCCAGGAAGGGAAAUGUUGACAAGUGACUGCAUAUGUCACAUUGAAGAAUGAGCAAUCACAGAACUCUGAAACAAGGAGAAGCAAACAUUUCAAGCAAGGAAGGGCAAAAGAACAUCACUGGGUCUUCAUGGAUAUGAAUCCAGUUCUACUAACAGAAACACCAGGGAGUCACCUAGAUCAAAUGAACAGGAGAAAAUGCAGUAAUGAUGGCAUCAAGCAAAAAUCUUGAAAUGCUUCUGAUGUUCACCCAUCAUAU